rnacentral:misc_RNA from 1 species
UCCUUGUGUGUAAUUAGCAUGCUUCCUCAAUGCUGCCUUUGUUUUUUUGUUCAUCAUAUUAAUGUACUGGUUUCCUCAUAUUUUAGAAGAAUAUGAGUCUCCCUAUAUCUGUUUUACCUUAUAAUCCUGAUCCUUAAGGUAGAUGCCGUGGGAGAUUAAAGGGUUGGAAAGUCUUGAUUUACUGAUACAGUAGGUUUUUUACUAAGAAAUUGUGUCAAAGGAGUUUGAAUGUGUAUUCUCAAGAUAAUUGACUUGGACUACAGUGUUUAAGUUGAUUGAAUGUACUAGUUGGUUUCAAAAUAGAACAUAGUUGUAAAUUUAUUUUUGACGUUUGUGAACAAAUUAUGUCCUGGACCUUCAAAAGUGCAGAAUAGGUACAGCAGGCCUUUGGCAAUGGGUCUGUUUGGCAUUGCUAUGAGAGCUUUGUUGAGAAAACACUUUUUUAAAUAUUUUAAUUAGAUUAUUAAAAAUUGUUUAAAAAUUAAAUUUGAUUUGUUUUGGCCAUUAGAACAUUAAAAUAACAAACAACUUUUGUUUAAAAUGUUUUUUUUUUAACAGUAUCUAAAAUGAUGAUUUUUCUAAAAGGCAUUUUUUGACCCUGAAAUUCAAUGCCAAAUGGGGCCAAUGUAUGGCUCUCUUUAUCAAAUGUUGUACACAAAAGUGUUUAAUGUGCAAAAAUCCAGUGGAAGUGAUAUAAAGGCCAAAAUAACUUAGAAAUUCAUGUUUUUAUUUGUUAAGCAAGUAUAUGGUGAUAUGAUUGUUUCUUCUGCAUAUAUUCAUUAUUCCAGUUUGGUAAAGUGGAAUAACUUUUAACUAGUAGCCUUAUCGCACAUGUUAGUUAAGCCUUAAUUUGAGGCACUUAAGUAUUAUGUUUUACAGUAGGAAGUCUGGCACACGAAAAGGAUAUGCAUCAUAUGCUUAUAAGUUUUCAAAGCUAAGUCUACUUAUAAAUAAAUGUAACAGAUUGAAAACCCCCCAUUUUUACCUUUCUCAAAAAUAGGGCACCCUUACAUAAAUUUUUAACAUAUAGUUCAUGGAGUCAAGCCAUUUCGUAAGAUGAACUUUUCUAUUCUUCCUCCUAUUUUAGGUUGUGCUUGAUGUUCAGAGCCUUAGAAAAUUAAAGCUGUCUGAUGCUUAAGUUUGGUUGCCUAAAAUAUGUGUUUCAGCAUCUUUUCUUGUAUUUUGGUCCUUUCUUGGACUCUUUUUUAUAUAUUAAAAAAAUUAUAAUAUUAUUUUCUGGAUCAAAAUUGUAGAUUCAAGGUGAAUGUUUAGACUUAUGCAAUAAUUUCACUGAACACUUAUAUUGCAUUCUCCAAAAAAAAAAGAAAGUAUUCAAAUAUUGUUGUCAUUCCUGUGUUAAGAUCUCAAUUCAGAAGUUAGGUGCUUUACAGUGAUGUGGAAUUGUAGAAUUGUGGACAGUUAUAUUUUGUGUGUAUGCAUUACUACUCCUUUUUCAACUCCUUUUCUUCUUUUUGUUUAUGACGAUAUACUGAUUAGUUACCUUCAUUUGAAUUGCUUUCUGAGCAGGAAAGCUGAAAGAAUUGGGAAAC